AUGACUUUGCUUUAGAACAAUCACAUGGCUUAGAGCUAGUCUGAGUAGCAGCAGCACCCAAGGAGCGUCAGUUCUUGUUAAAAAGCAAUACCUGUGUGAUGCAUUUUUACGCCACAGGCAAAGGGAAGGAUCACCCUCAUUUUAAACUCCUGCAGAGUCCCUUAAUAAAAUAUCAAAGCAUUCCAUCAAGUUCUUCUGGGUGGUGUUAUUGCUGUACAUUUGUUGGAGCUGCAAGCAGUUCAUUAUGACUGAGGAGGAGGUUUGGAGCUAGAUGAUGACCCAGGAGACCUAAUGAGAGAUGAAGCUGGAAAUUGAUGCUGGGACCAAGUCACACAGAGGGCCUCCUGUGUUUCACAACAAGGACUCAGGAAACCCUCGUGAUCUGGACAGUAUCAUUGAGAUUGUAUCACCUAAGCUGUCCAGUGCAACCAUGAAGUGGAAAGCAUGUGAAAAAAAGUGUAAAGUACCUGAAACCUUUAUUGGAUUGCCCUUUCACCUGGGUGCAGCUACAUUUUAACACCCGAGUAGCCUGCACACUUGCUAGCCCUAUUGGGUAAAUACUAUUGAGUCCUUAAUAAACUACUGAGUUGUAUUUGCCACCAACUCCUAGGGAAAGUUACUGCGCUUCUCUGGGCCUCAAUUUCAACAUCUAUAAAAUAAAAAUUUACCUUCGUAGUAUAGAAUUUUACUUUUGUUUUCCCCCAAAUGUUUUCAGAUGCAUGAUUCAGGAACAUUAGUCUGGUAUAAUUAAAGGGAAAACAUCAAGAAAGGCUUUUGAGUCAGAAAGACCUG
rnacentral:lncRNA from 10 species